rnacentral:rRNA from 1 species
CUAGUAACGGCGAGUGAAGCGGGAAGAGCUCAAAUUUGAAAUCUGGCAGUCUUCGAUUGUCCGAGUUGUAAUCUAUAGAGGCGUUUUCCGUGCCGGACCGUGUCCAAGUCUCCUGGAAAGGAGUAUCAAAGAGGGUGAUAAUCCCGUACUUAACACGACCACCGGUGCUCUGUGAUACGUCUUCUCCGAGUCGAGUUGUUUGGGAAUGCAGCUCAAAAUGGGUGGUGAAUUCCAUCUAAAGCUAAAUAUUGGCGAGAGACCGAUAGCGAACAAGUACCGUGAGGGAAAGAUGAAAAGCACUUUGGAAAGAGAGUUAAACAGUACGUGAAAUUGUUGAAAGGGAAACGAUUGAAGUCAGUCGUGUUCUUUGGAUUCAGCCAGUUCUGCUGGUCUACUUCCUUGGAACGGGUCAACAUCAGUUCUGUCCGGUGGAUAAAGGUAGUAGGAAUGUGACUUCUCCGGAAGUGUUAUAGCCUAUUAUCACAUACACUGGGUGAGACUGAGGACUGCAGCUCGCUUUAUGACCGGCUUCGGGC